UCCAACUUCAAUCACAAAUCAAGACACACAGAAAUUUACAAUUCCUUAAUCGAUACGAUACAACAAAUCAAGGAACGUGAGAAUUUAAAAGCUUCGAACUUUAAUUCCUAGAAUGAAUUACUCAGUCACAGAUUUCGAUAAAUACAAGUUAGGAUCAGAAUAGUGAACACGAAUUUUGGCAAAACUACUCCACCUAAUACUUAAAUUGUGAAAAAGUUUUAAACUUUAGAACAAUGAGGGACGAGGUGAAGGAAGCAGCAUCAUACCAGGCUGUUGGUGGAUUUCUUCUCCUUGACAACUUCCUGGACAGCAACGACGGGAGGAGAUCGACGAGAGGCGUGAGCGUGAUUGAGUCUGCGAGAAGAAGGAAGGGUGAGAGAACGGGUGGAUCCAAGGAAAGAGGAAUGAGGAGCCAAUCGGAUCGGGGGCAAGAGACGAUUCUCUUGAGAUCCAUGGAGAGGGAGGGUGGCAGUGAGCUUGGUGGGAGCGAAAGC
rnacentral:lncRNA from 1 species